rnacentral:rRNA from 1 species
GAUGAACGCUGGCGGCGUGCCUAAUACAUGCAAGUCGAGCGAACGGACGAGAAGCUUGCUUCUCUGAUGUUAGCGGCGGACGGGUGAGUAACACGUGGAUAACCUACCUAUAAGACUGGGAUAACUUCGGGAAACCGGAGCUAAUACCGGAUAAUAUUUUGAACCGCAUGGUUCAAAAGUGAAAGACGGUCUUGCUGUCACUUAUAGAUGGAUCCGCGCUGCAUUAGCUAGUUGGUAAGGUAACGGCUUACCAAGGCAACGAUGCAUAGCCGACCUGAGAGGGUGAUCGGCCACACUGGAACUGAGACACGGUCCAGACUCCUACGGGAGGCAGCAGUAGGGAAUCUUCCGCAAUGGGCGAAAGCCUGACGGAGCAACGCCGCGUGAGUGAUGAAGGUCUUCGGAUCGUAAAACUCUGUUAUUAGGGAAGAACAUAUGUGUAAGUAACUGUGCACAUCUUGACGGUACCUAAUCAGAAAGCCACGGCUAACUACGUGCCAGCAGCCGCGGUAAUACGUAGGUGGCAAGCGUUAUCCGGAAUUAUUGGGCGUAAAGCGCGCGUAGGCGGUUUUUUAAGUCUGAUGUGAAAGCCCACGGCUCAACCGUGGAGGGUCAUUGGAAACUGGAAAACUUGAGUGCAGAAGAGGAAAGUGGAAUUCCAUGUGUAGCGGUGAAAUGCGCAGAGAUAUGGAGGAACACCAGUGGCGAAGGCGACUUUCUGGUCUGUAACUGACGCUGAUGUGCGAAAGCGUGGGGAUCAAACAGGAUUAGAUACCCUGGUAGUCCACGCCGUAAACGAUGAGUGCUAAGUGUUAGGGGGUUUCCGCCCCUUAGUGCUGCAGCUAACGCAUUAAGCACUCCGCCUGGGGAGUACGACCGCAAGGUUGAAACUCAAAGGAAUUGACGGGGACCCGCACAAGCGGUGGAGCAUGUGGUUUAAUUCGAAGCAACGCGAAGAACCUUACCAAAUCUUGACAUCCUUUGACAACUCUAGAGAUAGAGCCUUCCCCUUCGGGGGACAAAGUGACAGGUGGUGCAUGGUUGUCGUCAGCUCGUGUCGUGAGAUGUUGGGUUAAGUCCCGCAACGAGCGCAACCCUUAAGCUUAGUUGCCAUCAUUAAGUUGGGCACUCUAAGUUGACUGCCGGUGACAAACCGGAGGAAGGUGGGGACGACGUCAAAUCAUCAUGCCCCUUAUGAUUUGGGCUACACACGUGCUACAAUGGACAAUACAAAGGGCAGCGAAACCGCGAGGUCAAGCAAAUCCCAUAAAGUUGUUCUCAGUUCGGAUUGUAGUCUGCAACUCGACUACAUGAAGCUGGAAUCGCUAGUAAUCGUAGAUCAGCAUGCUACGGUGAAUACGUUCCCGGGUCU